rnacentral:rRNA from 1 species
UACGGAGGGUGCAAGCGUUGCUCGGAAUUAUUGGGCGUAAAGGGUAGGUAGGUGGUCUCAUUUGUCUGGGGUGAAAGCCUUGAGCUUAACUCAAGAAGUGCCCCAGAAACGGUGAGACUAGAGUCUUGGAGAGGGUCGUGGAAUUCCCGGUGUAGCGGUGAAGUGCGUAGAGAUCGGGAGGAACACCAGAGGCGAAGGCGGCGACCUGGACAAGUACUGACACUCAACUACGAAAGCGUGGGGAGCAAACAGG